UCUUCAUCAUGUUUUCAUUUGGUUUGGAAUUGUAACAAUCUAAUUUAAUCUGAUUGUUUUCUUCUCAUUGUCAAUCAAUUUACCACAUUUAAGACUGAUUGUGUUCAAUUAAUCACUUGAUUCUGGUUGAUUGGUUGAUAUUCUCAUGUAUUGGUUUUGUCUUUUGUUUUUGUCUCUUGUUUAAUUUAUUCUGGGAUAAUCAAUGUGAUAACAAUCAGUGUAUUGUUUUCAGAUUGUUCCUUGGUCAGCAUGAUAUCUUCUUUUCUCAAUGGAAACCUGUCUAUCUAUUCAUCUGAGGUAGGAAGCAUCUUGGAACUCAAACCAUAACAUGUAACAGGAAUUACAUUACAAAAACCAUUCCUUUGUGGAUUUACCUUUAAUUUGCUAUUAUUUUCAUUCAAUUUUAUCCUUUUCACCAUUAAUUUCAACUCUCUCUCUGUGUAUAAUCAUCACCACAACUAUCAUCAGGAAUAUAGUAGAAAAGGAGCCAGUAAACACUUAGAAUCAUAGACAAUUAGACUGAUUGUGCCUCGAUAGUUAUGGAUAAUUGUAAUUGCAAUAAUACGUAAUAAGUAACACAAACGUUUACUUUUGUUUACUAAAUGAUAAAAAUCAUCUUCACCAUCAUCUGUAACAACAACAACAACAACCAGAUAUACAACAGAGGAAAAGUCUCAAAAGAAAGUAACUAGAACGAUAAAGUUCAUUUACCUGGAACCAAAAUGAAUUAAUUUAACCAAACAACAAUAGCAAAUUGUGAAAGAGACAAUCAAAGGAAGGUGUAAAUCUAUGAAUAGGAACCAUUUGAUUCACAGUUGCCAGUUAAAUUAACAGAGCAAUUUCAACAUCAUCAACAGUAAUUGUUUAAACUAUACUCUCUUUAAUUGUUACCCUGUUAACCGGAUUAAAGAUAAAUUAAACUUCAUCUCAUACUCAUCCAUUAACAGAGAAACGAGAUUGCCAUUUUUCAAAUGAUAAUCCAAUGGAUCCAAUGUAUUAUAUUUUUAGGAGGAGGUGAAGGAUAAGAUCUGGUUCUGAUGAUGAGGAUGAUAACAAAGGGGAUAAAUGAUACUCUGGAUACAAUUUACAGAAUCAAGUUACAGGUAUCAGGGAACAAAAAUCAAAUUCUUUUGGAUUGUUACCUUUUUUCCUGCUCAAUUUUUCGUAUCAAUGUCCAUCCCAAUGUCCAUCUGUUUCCAUUGUUGUUACCAGGAAAUGACCAACAGUAAAUAUUAUCAUCAUCACCUUUAAUCUUCAUCAUCCUAAUGGUUGGAAUCUUCAUCUUGGCUUAUCAUCAUCAUCAUCUUUAUCCCUUAUAAACAAAAAAGAUGUGACAAUGAACAGAUGAUUUAAAUUUCUUGAUUAUAUCAUCAUGGUUAAUUGUUGUGAACAUUAAUUAAGAUUUUACUUUUCUUGUAAAUAUUUUUCAUUCCCAUUUGUAUGUGACAGUUUGAUUAUCUUAUUAUGAUUAUUAUCAUCUUAAUAUAAUAAUAAUUAAGACUGUUAACCAAAGGUUCUCACACAAUCAAGUUAAUUAGUGUCUCUUGAUUGUGGAAAUCAUAUUAAUAGUAAGUUUGUCUUUAUUAACCAAUGAUUAGGCACAAACAUAAUAAUAAUUAAUUACUUUUGAUAUUGUU